rnacentral:rRNA from 1 species
AUUGAACGCUGGCGGCAUGCUUUACACAUGCAAGUCGAACGGUAACAGGCCUUCGGGUGCUGACGAGUGGCGAACGGGUGAGUAAUGCAUCGGAACGUGCCCAGAGGUGGGGGAUAACGCAGCGAAAGCUGUGCUAAUACCGCAUGUGAUCUGAGGAUGAAAGCGGGGGACCAGGCAGCAAUGUUUGGCCUCGCGCCUUUGGAGCGGCCGAUGUCAGAUUAGGUAGUUGGUGGGGUAAAGGCCUACCAAGCCGACGAUCUGUAGCUGGUCUGAGAGGACGACCAGCCACACUGGGACUGAGACACGGCCCAGACUCCUACGGGAGGCAGCAGUGGGGAAUUUUGGACAAUGGGCGCAAGCCUGAUCCAGCAAUGCCGCGUGCGGGAAGAAGGCCUUGGGGUUGUAAACCGCUUUUGUACGGAACGAAAAGGCUCUGGCUAAUACCUGGGGCUGAUGACGGUACCGUAAGAAUAAGCACCGGCUAACUACGUG